UACGGAGGGUGCGAGCGUUGUCCGGAAUUACUGGGCGUAAAGGGCUCGUAGGCGGCCAACUAAGUCGGAUGUGAAAUCCCCAGGCUCAACCUGGGAACUGCAUCCGAUACUGGAUGGCUUGAAUCCGGGAGAGGGAUGCAGAAUUCCAGGUGUAGCGGUGAAAUGCGUAGAUAUCUGGAGGAAUACCGGUGGCGAAGGCGGCAUCCUGGACCGGCAUUGACGCUGAGGAGCGAAAGCUAGGGGAGCAAACGGG
rnacentral:rRNA from 1 species